GUACGAGAUCUAAACAUCGAGAAAUUUAUUCUGAUAAAUGCACUUAGAAAGAUAUAUAAAUGCUCGACAGCAACAAAGAAUCGCGAGUAUUGCAUUAAACAUUUUCGCACGUUUUGUUCGCGAAUUCCGAGACAAGUGCCUCAUGAUUAAUGUUCUACAGUUCUCAUCGGUUAACGUUGCCUCGCGCAAUUUAUCUCGAAUUCCGAGCAACGAAAGAAAGAGAGAGAGAGAGAGAGAGAGAGAGAGAGAGAGAGAGAGAGAAAGCUAUGACAAAAUUAUAGAAGAUUUCGUCUAAUUUUGCAUAGCAACGUAUGAGUCGCAACGUCGAUCGUAUGAUAAAAUUGAAAAAGGGGGAAGCGGUUCACCCGAGAGAACAGCGUGUCUCCUCUCGUUCCCCUCCCCUGCCCGAUAUGCCGCUACCUUCUCGCCAAACUCUCUAUCGCGUCAAUUGUCGACUAUUCCGCGUCGGACACGUCCGCCGACGUUCGGGCAUAAUCGGAUCCUUGCAUCGCGCUUCUCUUCCCCGCGUCCUCCUACCCCGCUCCAGGGAUUGUCGAUGUACGCACGCCGAUAGUACUUGCUGGUGUGUGCACGCCAGUGCACACCGGCGUAUUACGACUCUAUGUGUAUGUGUGUGUUCGUGCAUUGGCCGGCGACCAAUCGGACGCAGAGUUGCAGCCAGUGGCGUACCACGAGCGGGCGCGAGAGCGAGAGUUGUGCGCCCUUUUUCCACCCCUCCGCCUACCAUCCUGCCGCGCGAGUCCUUUUUAGGACAGCUUCGUCCUUUAUUCGACAACGUGUUGUCGGCGUGUCAUCGCGCGGGAUAGAAUUUCUCGCUUGUUUUACGCCUGCGCCUUUUAUCACAAAUUCGAAGUAUCGACCUAUCCCAAUAUCGCGCAUAGCGCAUUUUUUUAACAACAACGAUAUUCCAUACGACAAGUUGCGACAAAGCGGCGAUAUGUCGCUCGUUGGCGCUUCAUUGACGACGACGACGAUGAUUCGCAAAGAAUCCGCUUACACGGGAAGAAGUAUCCCGGCGCGCGGAAAACGCGCGCUCCGCCAAUCCGCUCGGCGGCUCUCCAGUCUCCACUCGACGAGAUAGUACGCUUUAUUUACCUCGCACGCCGAUAUGUAUUACCGUUGUCAAUAACAUGGCCGAGACUACAACGCAAGGUCGGCAGGAGCUAAAAUAUUCGUAAUAUUUUCAAAUCCAAUACAAGCUCGACUGGACCGUUUAGUUCAGGUAUCAGGAUUCUUAAUUCUUCCUGUGUCGACUUUCAUAGAAAUGAAUACUACUUGUUAGAAAACUUGCUCUGCAGGACAAUGUACGAAAAAUAGGUAGCGUCAGAAUAUCUUCAGACAAAAGGUAGGCUCUUGAAGAUAAAAUAAAGUCUUGUCAAUUGAAUUUUUCAACGUAGCAAAAAGUAAUGGUUCGUCUUUCCGAUUUAAAAUCUAACACAAAUCUAAAUGGAAGUUAAUUAAUAUAAACUCAAAAUGGAAUCAAUUGUAUUCUCUACGUAUAUGACAUAUUUUCGAUGAAUAUUUUCGCGAAAAUGCGGUAGCAACAAGCAUGAUUACAUCGAGAAGAUUAUACAUAAAGGAAAGAAACGGUUAUUAAAGCAAUCUUGAAUAAACAAUUUUUUCAAAUUA